UACGUAGGUCCCGAGCGUUGUCCGGAUUUAUUGGGCGUAAAGCGAGCGCAGGUGGCUUAUUAAGUCUGGUGUAAAAGGCAGUGGCUCAACCAUUGUAUGCAUUGGAAACUGGUAGACUUGAGUGCAGGAGAGGAGAGUGGAAUUCCAUGUGUAGCGGUGAAAUGCGUAGAUAUAUGGAGGAACACCGGUGGCGAAAGCGGCUCUCUGGACCGUAACUGACGUUGAGGCUCGAAAGCGUGGGGAGCAAACAGG
rnacentral:rRNA from 1 species